rnacentral:rRNA from 1 species
CUCAGUAACACGUGGACAACCUACCCUCCGGACGGGUAUAAACCCGGGAAACUGGGUAUAAUCCCCGAUAGAUCUCGGUCGCUGGAAUGCCCCGAGAUCGAAAGCUCCGGCGCCAGAGGAUGGGUCUGCGGCCUAUCAGGUAGUAGUGGGUGUAGCGUACCUACUAGCCUACGACGGGUACGGGUUGUGAGAACAAGAGCCCGGAGAUGGAUUCUGAGACACGAAUCCAGGCCCUACGGGGUGCAGCAGGCGCGAAAACUUUACAAUGCCGGCAACGGCGAUAAGGGGACCUCGAGUGCCAGGUUACAAAUCUGGCUGUCGUGAUGCCUAAAAAGCAUUGCAUAGCAAGGGCCGGGCAAGACCGGUGUCAGCCGCCGCGGUAACACCGGCGGCUCGAGUGGUAACCGUUAUUAUUGGGUCUAAAGGGUCUGUAGCCGGCCGGAUAAGUCUCUUGAGAAAUCCAGCAGCUCAACUGUUGGGCUUUCAGGAGAUACUGUUCGGCUCGAGGCCGGGAGAGGUGAGAGGUACUUCAGGGGUAGGGGUGAAAUCUUGUAAUCCUUGAAGGACCACCAGUGGCGAAGGCGUCUCACCAGAACGGACCUGACGGCAAGGGACGAAAGCUAGGGGCACGAACCGGAUUAGAUACCCGGGUAGUCCUAGCCGUAAACGAUACUCGCUAGGUGUCGGCCACGGUGCGACCGUUGUCGGUGCCGUAGGGAAGCCGUGAAGCGAGCCACCUGGGAAGUACGGCCGCAAGGCUGAAACUUAAAGGAAUUGGCGGGGGAGCACCACAACGGGUGGAGCUUGCGGUUUAAUUGGAUUCAACGCCGGAAAUCUUACCGGGACCGACAGCAAUAUGAAGGCCAGGCUGAAGACUUUGCCGGAUUAGCUGAGAGGUGGUGCAUGGCCGUCGUCAGUUCGUACUGUGAAGCAUCCUGUUAAGUCAGGCAACGAGCGAGACCC